CGCCCUAGUUCUGACCGUAAACUAUGCCAUCUAGCGAUCCGAUGGGGUAUUGUUGCCUUGUCGAGGAGCUUCCCGGAAACNAAAGUCUUUCGGUUCCUGGGGUAGUAUGGUUGCAAAGCUGAAACUUAAAGAAAUUGACGGAAUGGCACCACCAGGAGUGGAGCCUGCGGCUUAAUUUGACUCAACACGGGAAAACUCACCCGGCCCGGACACCGUAAGGAUUGACAGAUUGAAAGCUCUUUCUCGAUUUGGUGGUUGGUGGUGCAUGGCCGUUCUUAGUUGGUGGAGCGAUUUGUCUGGUUUAUUCCGAUAACGAGCGAGACUCUAGCCUGCUAAAUAGUGGCUGGAUUUUUACGUCCAGUCUACUUCUUAGAGGGAUAAGCGGUGUUUAGCCGCACGAGAUUGAGCGAUAACAGGUCUGUGAUGCCCUUAGAUGUCCGGGGCUGCACGCGCGCUACAAUGGAAGAAUCAGCUGGCCUAUCCAUUGCCGAAAGGCAUUGGUAAACCGUUGAAACUCUUCCGUGACCGGGAUAGGGAAUUGUAAUUAUUUCCCUUGAACGAGGAAUUCCUAGUAAGUGUGAGUCAUCAGCUCACGCUGAUUACGUCCCUGCCAUUUGUACACACCGCCCGUCGCUGUCCGGGACUGAGCUGUCUCGAGAGGACUGCGGACUGCUGUCGCGAGGCCUUCGGGUCGCGUUAUGGCGGGAAACAGUUCAAUCGCAAUGGCUUGAACCGGGUAAAAGUCGUAACAAGGUAUCUGUAGGUGAACCUGCAGAUGGAUCAUCG
rnacentral:rRNA from 1 species